GCCCCGUAAUCGGAAUGAGUACACUUUAAAUCCUUUAACAAGGAUCCAUUGGAGGGCAAGUCUGGUGCCAGCAGCCGCGGUAAUUCCAGCUCCAAUAGCGUAUAUUAAAGUUGUUGCGGUUAAAAAGCUCGUAGUUGGUUCUGCGUGCCGCGCUGUCGGUUCGCCGCCUGUCGGUGUAACUGGCAUGUCGCGGCAUGUCCUGUCGGUGGUGAACGGAGUCCACAAUGCUACAUAGGCUUCAUUGCCGAUGUUAGCGUUGUGUGUACUUCCGUUGGCCGAUCUCUCCUACUUCGGUGCUCUUAAACGAGUGUCGAGGUAGGCCGACACGUUCACUUUGAACAAAUUAGAGUGCUUAAAGCAGGCUGAAAUAUCUGCCUGAAUAGUGGUGCAUGGAAUGAUAAAACAGGACCUCGGUUCUAUUUUGUUGGUUUUAGGAAUAUGAGGUAAUGAUCAAUGUGGACUGGCGGGGGCAUUCGUAUUGCGACGUUAGAGGUGAAAUUCUUGGAUCGUCGCAAGACGCACUAGAGCGAAAGCAUUUGCCAAGUAUGUCUUAAUUGAUCAAGAACGAAAGUUAGAGGUUCGAAGGCGAUCAGAUACCGCCCUAGUUCUAACCAUAAACGAUGCCAGCCAGCGAUCCGCCGAUGUUCCUUUAAUGACUCGGCGGGGAGCUUCCACCCGGGAAACCAAAGCUUUUGGGUUCCGGGGGAAGUAUGGUUGCAAAGCUGAAACUUAAAGGA
rnacentral:rRNA from 1 species